AACCAGAUAGUGUAGUUGGUUGCUUCUCUGAGCGUCUAUCAGGAGGUCCCUGGUUCAAUUCCAGGUCUGGUCA
rnacentral:tRNA from 2 species